AGAGGACGUGUGCCGAAAAAAGUGGAAGGGUUUGCGGGACACGUACCUGAAGGAGAGAAGGAAGGAGCUGGAGAAGAGGAGGAGUGGAGCAGCAGCAGGUGCGGGAAAAAAGUUCAGGUUCUCUGCCGUCCUCUCAUUCCUCGACCCCUUUGUGGCUCCACGGCCCACCACCAGCAACAUGGGCCAAGUCGAGGAGAUGGCAGAGGACCUACCUGCUCCACCCCCAGAAGAGGAGACAUCGGAGACAUAAGACACAAAUGGUGAUGACACAGAGGAGAGGUCCACUCCAUCCGAAGCACCUGCUGCCUCAUCUGUCUCCGACUCUGCUCCUUCAUCCUCUGCUGCUGCCCAACCUCCCGUAGGAAGGAGGAGGAGGAGGACAGUGCGACCCCGGGAGGAGCCAUCUGAGGUGGAACGGGAGCUUCUGGAAGCUCUCCGAAACCGGCCACCACCUCCACCCCCGCGGGUCCACUCCUCCAUGGAACACUUCCUCCUGGGUUUAGCUCCAUCCCUGGAAAGACUGCCACUAGAUAAACA